GAUGAACGCUAGCUACAGGCUUAACACAUGCAAGUCGAGGGGCAGCAGUUUUAGUUUGCUUGCAAACUGAAGAUGGCGACCGGCGCACGGGUGAGUAACACGUAUCCAACCUGCCGAUAACUCCGGGAUAGACCUUUCGAAAGAAAGAUUAAUACCGGAUAGCAUACGAAUAUCGCAUGAUAUUUUAUUAAAGAAUUUCGGUUAUCGAUGGGGAUGCGUUCCAUUAGUUUGUUGGCGGGGUAACGGCCACCAAGACUACGAUGGAUAGGGGUUCUGAGAGGAAGGUCCCCCACAUUGGAACUGAGACACGGUCCAAACUCCUACGGGAGGCAGCAGUGAGGAAUAUUGGUCAAUGGACGAGAGCCUGAACCAGCCAAGUAGCGUGAAGGAUGACUGCCCUAUGGGUUGUAAACUUCUUUUAUACGGGAAUAAAGUUAGCCACGUGUGGUUUUUGUAUGUACCGUAUGAAUAAGGAUCGGCUAACUCCGUG
rnacentral:rRNA from 1 species